rnacentral:lncRNA from 1 species
AUUCGGUAAGAAGUGCCAACAUGGGCCAAAUUUAAUGAACACAAGUUGUAAAUAAACAAUGUUCGAAUAUAGAAAAAUAGGCAAACAUGAAUACCAAUCCCACGGCCUAGUAUAGUCAGUACAAGAGCAUCUAAUAUCAAUAAUACAACCCAAUGGUCUUAAAGUAGUCAAUACAUCUGUUUCAAAAUAAAAAAUUGAAUAACAAUAAGAUAGAAGGAAAUGGG